rnacentral:tRNA from 1 species
GCCUGCCUGGCUCAGUGGGUAGAGCAUGUGACUCUUGAUCUCGGAGUCGCGAGUUCAAGCCCCAUGUUGGGCA